GACGAACGCUGGCGGCGUGCCUAAUACAUGCAAGUCGAACGCAUUUUCUUUCACCGUAGCUUGCUACACCGAAAGAAACUGAGUGGCGAACGGGUGAGUAACACGUGGGUAACCUGCCCAUCAGCGGGGGAUAACACUUGGAAACAGGUGCUAAUACCGCAUAAUUCCAUUUACCGCAUGGUAGAUGGGUGAAAGGCGCUUUUGCGUCACUGAUGGAUGGACCCGCGGUGCAUUAGCUAGUUGGUGGGGUAACGGCCUACCAAGGCUGCGAUGCAUAGCCGACCUGAGAGGGUGAUCGGCCACACUGGGACUGAGACACGGCCCAGACGCCUACGGGAGGCAGCAGUAGGGAAUCUUCGGCAAUGGACGCAAGUCUGACCGAGCAACGCCGCGUGAGUGAAGAAGGUUUUCGGAUCGUAAAACUCUGUUGUUAGAGAAGAACAAGGAUGAGAGUGGAAAGUUCAUCCCUUGACGGUAGCUAACCAGAAAGCCACGGCUAACUACGUG
rnacentral:rRNA from 1 species